rnacentral:rRNA from 1 species
ACAUGCAAGUCGAGCGGACAGAAGGGAGCUUGCUCCCGGAUGUUAGCGGCGGACGGGUGAGUAACACGUGGGUAACCUGCCUGUAAGACUGGGAUAACUCCGGGAAACCGGAGCUAAUACCGGAUAGUUCCUUGAACCGCAUGGUUCAAGGAUGAAAGACGGUUUCGGCUGUCACUUGCAGAUGGACCCGCGGCGCAUUAGCUAGUUGGUGGGGUAAUGGCUCACCAAGGCGACGAUGCGUAGCCGACCUGAGAGGGUGAUCGGCCACACUGGGACUGAGACACGGCCCAGACUCCUACGGGAGGCAGCAGUAGGGAAUCUUCCGCAAUGGACGAAAGUCUGACGGAGCAACGCCGCGUGAGUGAUGAAGGUUUUCGGAUCGUAAAGCUCUGUUGUUAGGGAAGAACAAGUGCGAGAGUAACUGCUCGCACCUUGACGGUACCUAACCAGAAAGCCACGGCUAACUACGUGCCAGCAGCCGCGGUAAUACGUAGGUGGCAAGCGUUGUCCGGAAUUAUUGGGCGUAAAGGGCUCGCAGGCGGUUUCUUAAGUCUGAUGUGAAAGCCCCCGGCUCAACCGGGGAGGGUCAUUGGAAACUGGGAAACUUGAGUGCAGAAGAGGAGAGUGGAAUUCCACGUGUAGCGGUGAAAUGCGUAGAGAUGUGGAGGAACACCAGUGGCGAAGGCGACUCUCUGGUCUGUAACUGACGCUGAGGAGCGAAAGCGUGGGGAGCGAACAGGAUUAGAUACCCUGGUAGUCCACGCCGUAAACGAUGAGUGCUAAGUGUUAGGGGGUUUCCGCCCCUUAGUGCUGCAGCUAACGCAUUAAGCACUCCGCCUGGGGAGUACGGUCGCAAGACUGAAACUCAAAGGAAUUGACGGGGGCCCGCACAAGCGGUGGAGCAUGUGGUUUAAUUCGAAGCAACGCGAAGAACCUUACCAGGUCUUGACAUCCUCUGACAACCCUAGAGAUAGGGCUUUCCCUUCGGGGACAGAAUGACAGGUGGUGCAUGGUUGUCGUCACCUCGUGUCGUGAGAUGUUGGGUUAAUUCCCGCAACGAGCGCAACCCUUGAUCUUAGUUGCCAGCAUUUAGUUGGGCACUCUAAGGUGACUGCCGUGACAACCGGAAG